rnacentral:rRNA from 1 species
GACGUAGGAGGCGAGCGUUAUCCGGAUUCACUGGGCGUAAAGCGCAUGUAGGCGGCUGGACAAGUCGUGUGUUAAAGCCCCUGGCUCAACUGGGGGAGGUCACGCGAGACUGUACGGCUGGAGGGCAACAGAGGCACGUGGAACUCCCGGUGUAGCGGUGGAAUGCGUAGAGAUCGGGAAGAACACCAGUGGCGAAGGCGACGUGCUGGGUUGCACCUGACGCUGAGAUGCGAAAGUGUGGGGAGCAAACGGG